rnacentral:rRNA from 1 species
CAGUCGCCACGGUAAAACGGAGGGUGCAAGCGUUAAUCGGAAUUACUGGGCGUAAAGCGCACGCAGGCGGUCUGUCAAGUCAGAUGUGAAAUCCCCGGGCUUAACCUGGGAACUGCAUUUGAAACUGGCAGGCUAGAGUCUUGUAGAGGGGGGUAGAAUUCCAGGUGUAGCGGUGAAAUGCGUAGAGAUCUGGAGGAAUACCGGUGGCGAAGGCGGCCCCCUGGACAAAGACUGACGCUCAGGUGCGAAAGCGUGGGGAGCAAACAGGAUUAGAUACCCGCGUAGUCCCUGUCUCUUAUAC